rnacentral:rRNA from 1 species
ACUCCUACGGGAGGCAGCAGUGGGAAUAUUGCACAAUGGGGGAAAGCCCAUCGAUGCAGCCAUGCCGCGUGUGUGAAGAAGGCCUUCGGGUUGUAAAGACACUUUCAGUAGGGAGGAAGGUAGUGUAGUUAACACCUGCAUUAUUUGACGUUACCUACAGAAGAAGCACCGGCUAACUCCGUGCCAGCAGCCGCGGUAAUACGGAGGGUGCGAGCGUUAUCCGGAAUCAUUGGGUUUAAAGGGUCCGUAGGUGGACGAUUAAGUCAGAGGUGAAAUCUUGCAGCUCAACUGUAAAAUUGCCUUUGAUACUGGUUGUCUUGAGUUAUUAUGAAGUGGUUAGAAUAUGUAGUGUAGCGGUGAAAUGCAUAGAUAUUACAUAGAAUACCAAUUGCG